CUGGAAGAAUCUGGAGACAGGUGCUGCAUGGCUGUCGUCAGCUCGUGUCGUGAGAUGUUGGGUUAAGUCCCGCAACGAGCGCAACCCUUGCCUUUAGUUGCCAGCAGUUCGGCUGGGCACUCUAAAGGGACUGCCGGUGUUAAACCGGAGGAAGUGGGGAUGACGUCAAGUCCUCAUGGCCUUUAUGACCAGGGCUACACACGUACUACAAUGGCCGAUACAAAGGGCAGCGACACUGCGAGGUGAAGCCAAUCCCGUAAAAUCGGUCUCAGUCCGGAUUGGAGUCUGCAACUCGACUCCAUGAAGUUGGAAUCGCUAGUAAUCGUGGAUCAGCAUGCCACGGUGAAUACGUUCCCGGGCCUU
rnacentral:rRNA from 1 species